CUACUGGAGCCGGAUGAGAGGAAACUUUCAUGUCCGAUUUUGAAAGGGGGAGAUCCUAUAGGAUCCUAUCCAAAUUUUUCUUUUGCUAGGCCCAUCGCUAAAAAACCCACUUUCUUACGAUUACGAGGUUCAUUCGAAUACGAAAUCCAAUCUUGGAAAUACAGUAUCCCACUUUUUUUUACUACCCCAGGCUUACGAUACAUUUAGAAAUCGAGAAAUUUCUACUGGAGCGGGUGCUAUCCGAGAACAAUUAGCCGAUCUGGAUUUGAGAAUUAUUAUAGAUUAUUCGUUGUUAGAAUGGAAAGAGUUGGGGGAAGAAGGGUCCACGGGGAAUGAAUGGGAAGAUCGAAAGAUUGGAAGACGAAAGGAUUUUUUGGUUAGACGCAUGGAGUUGGCUAAGCAUUUUAUUCGAACAAAUAUAGAACCAGAAUGGAUGGUUUUAUGUCUAUUACCAGUUCUUCCGCCCGAGUUGAGACCAAUCAUUCAGAUAGACGGGGGUAAACUAAUGAGCUCGGAUAUUAAUGAACUCUAUAGAAGAGUUAUUUAUCGGAACAAUACUCUUAUCGAUCUCUUAACAACAAGUAGAUCUACGCCAGGAGAAUUAGUCAUGUGU